GAAGCUUUAGAUGAUGAUUUGAUGUUUAAUGCUCAACAACAACCACAUUCUGAACCGCAACAACAACUACAAUCAGAAACACAACAAUUACAAU
rnacentral:lncRNA from 1 species